rnacentral:rRNA from 1 species
ACCUAGUUAAUUUUAUUAGUAGUUAUAUACUUAUCUUAAAGAUUAAGCUAUGUAUAUCUAAGUAUAAGUAAUUAUAUAGCAAAACUAUAAAUAGCUUAUUAUAUAAGUUAUUAUUUAUUUAAUAGUACCUUACUACUUAGAUAACUAUAGUAAUUCUAGAGCUAAUACAUACUAAAAAUCCUAACUUUAGAAGAAAUAUAUUUAUUAGAUUAAAAACUAAUACCCUUUAGGGCUUACUAGUAAUUUAUAAUAACUUCUUAAAUUACAUAGCCUUAUGCUAGCAAUAGUUUAUUUAAAUUUCUUUCUUAUUAACUUUUAAUACUAAAGUAGUAUUCUAGUAUAGUUAUAAUAGGUAACAGAGGGUUAAGGCUUAACCCUAGAGAAGAAGCCUAAGAAAUAGCUACUAUAUCUAAAAAAGGCAGUAGGCACGCAAAUUACCUAAUCCUAACACAGAGAGGUAGUAAUAAUAAAUACUAAUAUAGGGCUCUUUUAGGUCUUAUAAUUAAAAUAAGUAUAAUUUAAAUCUCUUAAUAAGAAAUAAUUAGAGAGUAAGUCUAGUGCUAGCAGCCAUAGUAAUUCUAGCUCUAAUAGCGUAUAUUAAAGUUAUUAUAGUUAAAAAGCUUAUAGUAAAACCUUAGGCCUAGCUAGCUAGUCUGUCUUACUAUAUACACUAGUCUAGCUAGGCCUUUCUCUCUAUAGAACCGCAUGCCCUUUACUAAGUAUGCUAAGGAAACAGGACUUUUACUUUAAAAAAAUUAGAGUGCUCUAGGCAGGCCUAUGCUUAAAUACAUUAGUAUAAAAUAAUAAAAUAAGACGUAUAGUUCUAUUUUGUUAGUUUCUAGGACUACUAUAAUAAUUAAUAAAGAUAGUUAGAGGCAUUAGUAUUUAAUUAUUAAAGGUAAAAUUCUUAGAUUUAUUAAAGACUAACUACUAUAAAAGUAUUUACUAAGGAUGUUUUUAUUUAUUAGGAACAAAAGUUAGAAAAUUAAAGAUAAUUAGAUACCGUUAUAGUCUUAACUAUAAACUAUACUAACUAAGGAUUAAACAAUGUUAUUUUUUAACUUAUUUAGCAUCUUAUAAGAAAUUAAAGUACUUAGGCUCUAGGGGGAGUAUAGUCAUAAGGCUAAAACUUAAAGAAAUUAACAAAAGGGCACCACUAGAGGUAAAGCCUGCAGCUUAAUUUAACUUAACAUAAAGAAACUUACUAGGUCUAGACAUAAUAAGGAUUAACAGAUUAAGAGCUCUUUCUUAAUUUUAUAGGUAGUAGUAUAUAGCCGUUCUUAUUUAGUAAAGUAAUUUAUCUACUUAAUUAUAAUAAUAAAUAAGACCUUAACCUACUAAAUAGCCUAUAUUACUUUAGUAGUACGCCAGCUUCUUAGAGAGACUAUUAGCUUAAGCUAAUAGAAGUUUAAGGUAAUAAUAGGUCUGUAAUACCCUUAGAUAUUCUAGGCUGUACACACGUUAUACUAACAAAGCUAGUAAGUACUCCCUUAGCCAGAAGGCCUAGGUAAUCUUAUUAAACUCUGUUAUACUAAAGAUAAAGUAUUAUAAUUAUUACUUUUUAAUAAGAAAUCCCUAGUAA